rnacentral:lncRNA from 1 species
AUAUAGAAAAGAUGAGCUUCAACCUAGUAGUAUGGGUUUAUUACUAACCAUUUCCACAAGUGUUAUGAAUAUUUGUAUAUCGGUCACUUAUCCUUAGAAAGGAGGAGAAACACACUCAAGAGGCAUAGAGACACAACUCUGGCCAAUCAAGGGAGAGCACAUGGAUCCAUGGGCCCAAAUCAAGGGGUAAACCACCUUAAUUUGGCACGUGCAGCCUACACCAACUUGAG